AUUGAACGCUGGCGGCAGGCUUAACACAUGCAAGUCGAACGAUUGGCGGACGGGUGAGUAAUGCUUGUGAAUCUAGCUUAUGGAGGGGGAUAACUACGGGAAACUGUAGCUAAUACCGCGUACCAUAGGAUGAGCCCAAGGGGGAUUAGGUAGUUGGUGAGGUAAAGGAUCACCAAGCCCACGAGUUCUAGCUGGUCUGAGAGGAUGACCAGCCAACAUGGGACUGAGAAACGGCCCAGACUCCUACGGAAGGCAGCAGUGGGGAAUAUUGCGCAAUGGGGGAAACCUGAAGCAGACAUGCGGCGUGAAUGAAGAAGGCCGUCGGGUUGUAAAGUUCUUUCGGUAGCGAGGCGUUAACUACAGAAGAAGCACCGGCUAACUCCGUGCCAGCAGCCGCGGUAAUAC
rnacentral:rRNA from 1 species